rnacentral:rRNA from 1 species
UACGUAGGGUGCGAGCGUUGUCCGGAAUUAUUGGGCGUAAAGAGCUCGUAGGCGGUGUGUUACGUCGGCCGUGAAAACCUGCAGCUUAACUGUGGGCGUGCGGUCGAUACGGGCAUCACUGGAGUUCGGCAGGGGAGACUGGAAUUCCUGGUGUAGCGGUGAAAUGCGCAGAUAUCAGGAGGAACACCGGUGGCGAAGGCGGGAUCCUGGGCCAGUACUGACGCUGAGGAGCGAAAGCGUGGGGAGCAAACAGG